AACAUCGCGCACCUGCGGGAACCUGCGGAAGGAUCAUUACAGAGUUAUCCAACUCCCAAACCCAUGUGAACUUAUCUCUUUGUUGCCUCGGCGCAAGCUACCCGGGACCCAGCGCCCCGGGCGGCCCGCCGGCGGACAAACCAAAACUCUUGUUAUCUUAGUUGAUUAUCUGAGCGUCUUAUUUAAUAAGUCAAAACUUUCAACAAUGGAUCU
rnacentral:misc_RNA from 1 species